UCCUGAAGAAGCCUGUAGCCUGUUGAGCCUGCUGAAAACCGGAGUUGUAUUGCUUUUUUUAGUGUGUUUUUGCUCCAUCUAAUGCCUCUUUUAUUCUUCAUGCCAAUGGCCUUGAUCUGAUCUUUUGUAAAAAAUAUGACCCAAUUUCGUUUCAAAAGUCAAAACUUUCUUUCGUAGGACUGCAUUGAUUUUUUUCUGUCUUUUAAGUUUUCCUUCUAUCUUCCUUAUGYGAUCUUUUUGGCUUUUUAAUUCCUCCCUCAGGCUUUUCACCUCAGCUCCCUGCUUGCAUAGCGGGUUGACACAUUCUCCUGGCGCUGUUGACCCUGGUUCAUCAUCAGCUUCUGGARUGUCCCUGUCCUCUGAUGCUACAAUUUCAUCUUCCUUUUCACUUUCCCUUAUCUUGCUUGCCUCAUUUCUGUUGCUCCCUUUCUCAAUCUYUGAAAUUAUAAUGGCACAGUUAGCAUGAAGAGUAAUUGUAAAAUAAAUAAGUAAAAUAAUAAUAAUAAAUUUAAUAUUUAACAGUGCAUACCAAUGUUGACUUUGUUACAGUAUGUGUGGUCAUUGAUCAGUGGAUGAAAAUGCAGUGGAAGUUCUGUCCUAUUUCUCACUGCAGGACCCUUCCUUCUUUUUGGCUCACAGCAAUGAGUUGGAACAGCAUCAGCCCUUAGUCUCAGUUGAUCAUGAACUGCCCUCCAUCAAAAUGUACCUGUAGAAUUAUUAUUUUAUUUUAUUUUCAUUGGGGCUUUGUGUAUAUGACAGUAAAACAUGUUGAGCCCAAAUUAAAAUGAGUGCAGCUUAAACUUACAGCACACAGUUUUCUGUUAUUAUGACCUCUGGUGAUGGUGAGGUUGAUCCUGCUGACUUGAGCCAACCAUUUCUUUCUUCUUUCUGUGUCUUUUGGGAAACCAUACAUUCUGAGCCCUUUCUCCGACCGAUUGGUGCAUCCAAAUGCGGCACAGCCAACCAUGGGAGGUCAACAGAUGUGACUGACAUCAAAAAGAGCUGCUGUUGAUGCCAAGGAGGAACCCUCAGGACCGGAGCACACCGUCCAAAUUUAACCAGAUGGCUUGUUUGUGCAGAUGUAAUAAAUAAACAGUAUAAAUAGUAGUAAACAUACUUCUUUAUAAGAGUUUGUUUUACAUUUUGCAUUAUAUUUUAUAAUAAAAUGUUUCUAU